CGGAACGGGGUAGGGGUAAACGACGUGAGGGAAACCGGCCUCAAGAAGGGGGACAACAGUUGGAAACGACUGCUAAUACCGCAUAAGCCCACGGCUCGGCAUCGAGCAGAGGGAAAAGGAGUGAUCCGCUUUGAGAUGGCCUCGCGUCCGAUUAGCUAGUUGGUGAGGUAACGGCCCACCAAGGCGACGAUCGGUAGCCGGACUGAGAGGUUGAACGGCCACAUUGGGACUGAGACACGGCCCAG
rnacentral:rRNA from 1 species